GAGUUUGAUCGUGGCUCAGGACGAACGCUGGCGGUAUGCCUAAUACAUGCAAGUCGAGCGCAGGAAGCAGACUGAAGCCUUCGGGUGGAUGUCUGUGGAAUGAGCGGCGGAUGGGUGAGUAUCACGUGGGUAACCUGCCUGUAAGCUUGGGGAUAACUCCGGGAAACCGGUGCUAAUACCAGAUAAGAUUUCCGUUCGCAUGAACGGAAAAUGAAAGGCGGCUUUUGCUGUCACUUACAGAUGGACCCGCGUCGCAUUAGCUAGUUGGUGGGGUAAAGGCUCACCAAAGCAACGAUGCGUAGCCGACCUGAGAGGGUGAUCGGCCACACUGGGACUGAGACACGGCCCAGACUCCUACGGGAGGCAGCAGUAGGGAAUCUUCCGCAAUGGACGAAAGUCUGACGGAGCAAUACCGCGUGAGUGAUGAAGGUCUUCGGAUCGUAAAACUCUGUUGUUAAGGAAGAACAAGUGCUAAUCUAAUACAUUAGUG
rnacentral:rRNA from 1 species